CAGCAGCCACGGUAAUACGUAGGUGGCAAGCGUUGUCCGGAUUUAUUGGGCGUAAAGCGAGCGCAGGCGGUUUCUUAAGUCUGAUGUGAAAGCCCCCGGCUCAACCGGGGAGGGUCAUUGGAAACUGGGAGACUUGAGUGCAGAAGAGGAGAGUGGAAUUCCAUGUGUAGCGGUGAAAUGCGUAGAUAUAUGGAGGAACACCAGUGGCGAAGGCGGCUCUCUGGUCUGUAACUGACGCUGAGGCUCGAAAGCGUGGGGAGCAAACAGGAUUAGAUACCCCUGUAGUCCCUGUCUCUUAUAC
rnacentral:rRNA from 1 species